CAAAUGAUAAAAGACUUGUAUUUAAAGUGCAUAAAGUAAAUGACUUGAAAUUAAAAGUUAGUCAAAUUUUUGUUGAUUAGAUGUUAGUAUUGUUUUUGCUUUUCAAUUGUUUAAGUCAUUCUUUGGAGAACACUUAACCCUCUAUUCACAAGCAUGGAUCCUUGAACCAAGACAUCUUCCAAAGGAAGGAAAAAAAGGCCAAGUUUCCACACAAUAACAUGAAAGGGGGGGGGGACUUACAAUCUCACUUACUAGAAUGUU
rnacentral:lncRNA from 1 species